rnacentral:lncRNA from 1 species
UUCUUUGAAAAACGUUUAUUUAGCGUAAAACAGACCCAUACCCUUCAUGGGUCAGAUGUUACCACCUUUAAAAAAAUGUUUUUUAACUCUCCUUCCUGUCCCACUGAAAAAAUUUUUUUGAAAGGGUUAAGAAGAGUCUAUCAUUGCUGGUCAAAAUUGGCCUGAGGAUGGCCGCCAGGGGCAAAGGCCUGAAGGCAUCACCUGGGCAGGCCUGGAAGCCCACGGGGAGUGGCACCCUCAAGCCCAGGGGCGGGGGCGCCCCCUCCCUGCCCUCCAGGGAGGCUGCAUGCAGACCUCCACAGUGCAGCCUCCAGUUUAGUCAGCCUCGAGUUUGGGCUGCUCCUGCGCCUGGUACUUUAUGUGUAUGAUACAUGUGUAUCCAUCCUGCUUCCCUGCCUUCAAGGGAAGACUUAACUCUUGGGAAGAAAACCUGCCUGGAGAUCGCUUCACGCAGCAAGUCACCAGAGUACUCAAGUCAACUGCAAACGAGUGGUUACAAAAUGGGAGCUUUAAAGAAAGUGCUCUCCUAGAACCGAUGUCCUCACAGUCAGGAGUGGGAGGCUGGGGCUGCUGUGCGGGCCUGCGGCUCCAUGGUGCCUCUCUGCAAAGGCUCGGGUCCGCUUUCCAGACUGCAGGCCACUGUGUGUGCUGCGGAGGAUGCCACAGUGUUAAGGCUGACUGGGACCAGGAGGGGACGCUGGGCUCUCCUGCUACACCCGGCCACUUGUAGCAGAUUCCUAGGCCACACUCCUUCCGAGCCACUUUGCAAACUGCUUCCCCGUUGUGGGGCCAGCAGGAGCUACAAGGGCCAAAGGCGGCUCUGCCGGGCCUGGACUGGUUUUGUGGCCUUCGAUAGGAGAGGUCUGGGACAGGCCACACCGCAGUGAAGGUCUUUUCCCACAUCCAAUUUUAUGGGAAGACUGGGGUUUGAAGAUGGAAUCUAGGAACCCUCCUCUCCCCUUUUUUAAGUAAAGAGAAAAGGAGACCUUUGUCUCACGUGAGAGCAGGUGGAGGAGAAUCAGAGCUAUGGCGGCCACUAGCAGCGUACUUCCUGGAUGUGCAUGGGAGAGAGAUGGCAGCUUCCGGACAGGAAUGACACAGGUUCUUUGCUCCUUUGCAGUUGGGAUGAAUGUUCAAGUUGAGGCACAGUGUGGUUCCCAUGGAAAGCCCAAGGUCAGCACAGCCCCUCGGCCUGCUCCGCUAUGGGAUGCCUUGGAGGCGCCAGGCCUCUGCUCCCAGCUGGCCCCAGCCCAGGGAGGCGGCAGGCGGCUGGAGCACCCCUAGGGGCAGGUGGGUCUAGCCCGGGGGGCUCCUGGCUGGACUAUGUGCUAACUGCUUUGAUGGACAAGCACCCUACCCCCGAUUAGCUCAGUGGCUUGAUGAACUGUACACAGCCAGGCUGGUGCAGAACCGUGAGAAAGGAACGGUUUGGCUAUAGGAGCUAUGAUACGAAGAGAAAGGCUAAUAAAUAGAUGCACGUGGCGAGCGCCGGGCAGCCCCGGACCAGGCUGCGUGGGACGCAGCAGACGCCGCUGUGGCUCCCGCACCCGGGCAUCAAGUGAUCAGUGUCUCUAGUAAAGAUAUACAAACCAAGUUACUUCUUUUCAAGUAUUAAAAAAAUAAGUUAAUUGACAAAAAGGGUUUGAAGCGGCUGAGCGUCCUGCCAGGUUGUCAGCUUCAUUUCAAUGUGCAAACACAGGAAAGACACCGAGGAAGAGGCC